GACGAACCGUGCGAACGUUGUUCGGAAUCACUGGGCUUAAAGGGAGCGUAGGCGGGCUAUCAAGUCUGGGGUGAAAUGUCGCGGCUUAACCGCGGAACUGCCUCAGAUACUGACGGCCUCGAGGGAGAUAGGGGCAUGCGGAACUGUAGGUGGAGCGGUGAAAUGCGUUGAUAUCUACAGGAACUCCGGUGGCGAAAGCGGCGUGCGGGAUCUCUUCUGACGCUGAGGCUCGAAAGCUAGGGGAGCAAACGGG
rnacentral:rRNA from 1 species